rnacentral:lncRNA from 1 species
AAGACCUUUGUCCCAAGUGCAAGCUUUAUGUAGAGAAACAUUGGAUUCAAGAACUGGAGAAAAUAAUUUUGUGGUUGAUGAAGAACAAACUAGAUCUGUUACAUUUUAAAAUAUUCGGUUGAAGAAGAUGAAUAGAAACAGAGAAAGAAGAAGAUAUCUUGAAUUCAAAAGAAGGUAUAAGAAGGGGAAGAGAGAAGAAGG